GAGGGGAGGAGGGGAGGGAAGGGGAGGCUAGGGCGAGAAACUGGGUUAGGACCCCGAGAGAGAGCUUCAGAGGGUCACCACCGGCCCUCCUGGACCCCACACACAUCCUCCAGGAGAUUUGAGAAAAGACUCUCCUCCAGCAGGAGAAGCGUUCAGGAUUGGGAGGGGGGAGUACAGAAGACAGGAAACCUGGGACCCUUAGCGAGAAGCAGGCAGCAAAGGGGGCGCGCAAAGUGCUGGUGAAGAGAGGCUAGAAGGCUGAGGGUGCCCGAAGGAGAGGUGGCCGCUCAGGGGCCCUGAGAAGCAGCAGCGACUCCGCCGCCUUGCGUGGACAUCGAGGCUGCAGGCACCCUGACGCUGGAGGAAAUGGAAGAAGGGCCCUGGAGAUUCAUCUUGGAAGCCUGCCCCCCAACUGGAUUCUGCUGGAGGUCAUUCACAAGUGUUAACUCUUAUAUGAACUAUGACUAAGAAAUUGAUACGGGGAAAUCAGCAUUUAGGGGAAGAUCGGCGUGUGUAGUUCUGAUGUUAUGGGAGGAACAGGCUCUCCAGUCUCAGACUGGCAGGGGCUGAGCAUUCUCGGCUCCUUGCCGCAUUUGACGUCAUCGGCUUAUUGGCAGAUACCCCGAAAGAGUAGCAGAGUCCAGUUUAAAGAUGCGCUUCCUGAGAUUCGGCCAAGGACUUGGACUCUGGGAUAGGAUGGCUGUAUUUAAAGCCAUUUAGUUCUGUACAAGAUGGUUGUAAAGAUGGGGGGCGUGAGUCAGGGUUUUGAUAUUUGUUUCCGAUGUGUCUCAUAUAUUAAAUUCCUCUGUUAUCUACUCGGAUAA